rnacentral:rRNA from 1 species
UACGUAGGGCGCAAGCGUUGUCCGGAAUCAUUGGGCGUAAAGCGCGUGUAGGCGGCCCGAUAAGUCCGCUGUGAAAGUCCAGGGCUCAACCCUGGGAUGCCGGUGGAUACUGUCGGGCUCGAGUCCGGAAGAGGAGUGUGGAAUUCCUGGUGUAGCGGUGAAAUGCGCAGAUAUCAGGAGGAACACCAAUGGCGAAGGCAGCACUCUGGGACGUGACUGACGCUGAGACGCGAAAGCGUGGGGAGCAAACAGG